GCAAACUUGGUCAUUUAGAGGAAGUAAAAGUCGUAACAAGGUCUCCGUUGGUGAACCAGCGGAGGGAUCAUUACCGAGUCUUUGCACUCAAAACAACCCUUCUGUGGACCUGAAGAAAACCGUUGCCUCGGCGGGCGGCCCCUACCUGUGGGCCGGACAGCUCGGCCGCCUUUUUUAAGGCGCGCCGGCGCCAGCCGCUGGCCCCAAACCAAAACUCUAGUAACUAUUACCUUCUGAGUUUUAAAGCAAGAAAUAAAGUCAAAACUUUCAACAACGGAUCUCUUGGCUCUGGCAUCGAUGAAGAACGCAGC
rnacentral:misc_RNA from 1 species